UAAAGUUGUGCUACCAAACACAUUGUAUCUCGCCAUCUAUUCAAGGAAAGACGUGACGUUUUUGAAGAUCUUCAUCUCAAUUUUGUCAUCUUCAAGGUUGUAACAAUUAUAAUAUUCCAUCAAAUAAGUCCACAAAUAAAAGCUCUUGAGUUGAAUCUGGUGAUUGUUGGUUCUCCAUCUCUUUAGCGUUACAAAUACAUAGAAGCUACAAAGAAAGAUAUAAAGUAGAGUGUUAUCUUCUUUUGAUUUUGUUUCUUUUAUUGCAAAGAUUUUUUAAUUUUCAUCUUAGUUUUGAUAGAUGUUGUCAAUGAAAACUUCAACUCUCUUUAUUGCAUUUGCAAGAUUCUUUGUUUGCUUUUAUGUGCAUUCAUUAAUAUCAUAUCCAUGCCAAUGAAUAAGAUAUUUCAACCUAUUUUGGCGUUAUCUUGC
rnacentral:lncRNA from 1 species